rnacentral:rRNA from 1 species
GAUGAACGCUGGCGGCGUGCCUAAUACAUGCAAGUCGAGCGAACAGACGAGGGGCUUGCUCCUCUGACGUUAGCGGCGGACGGGUGAGUAACACGUGGAUAACCUACCUAUAAGACUGGGAUAACUUCGGGAAACCGGAGCUAAUACCGGAUAAUAUAUUGAACCGCAUGGUUCAAUAGUGAAAGACGGUUUUGCUGUCACUUAUAGAUGGAUCCGCGCCGCAUUAGCUAGUUGGUAAGGUAACGGCUUACCAAGGCGACGAUGCGUAGCCGACCUGAGAGGGUGAUCGGCCACACUGGAACUGAGACACGGUCCAGACUCCUACGGGAGGCAGCAGUAGGGAAUCUUCCGCAAUGGGCGAAAGCCUGACGGAGCAACGCCGCGUGAGUGAUGAAGGUCUUCGGAUCGUAAAACUCUGUUAUUAGGGAAGAACAAAUGUGUAAGUAACUAUGCACGUCUUGACGGUACCUAAUCAGAAAGCCACGGCUAACUACGU